rnacentral:rRNA from 1 species
GACGAACGCUGGCGGCGUGCUUAACACAUGCAAGUCGAACGGAAAGGCCCUGCUUGCAGGGUACUCGAGUGGCGAACGGGUGAGUAACACGUGGGUGAUCUGCCCUGCACUUCGGGAUAAGCCUGGGAAACUGGGUCUAAUACCGGAUAGGAGCCAUUUUUAGUGUGAUGGUUGGAAAGUUUUUUCGGUGUAGGAUGAGCUCGCGGCCUAUCAGCUUGUUGGUGGGGUAAUGGCCUACCAAGGCGGCGACGGGUAGCCGGCCUGAGGGGGUGGACGGCCACAUUGGGACUGAGAGACGGCCCAGACUCCUACGGGAGGCAGCAGUGGGGAAUAUUGCACAAUGGGCGCAAGCCUGAUGCAGCGACGCCGCGUGGGGGAUGACGGCCUUCGGGUUGUAAACUCCUUUCGCUAGGGACGAAGCUUUUUGUGACGGUACCUAGAGAAGAAGCACCGGCUAACUACGUG